rnacentral:rRNA from 1 species
UACGGGGGGGGCAAGCGUUGUUCGGAAUUACUGGGCGUAAAGGGCUCGUAGGCGGCCAACUAAGUCGGAUGUGAAAUCCCCAGGCUUAACCUGGGAACUGCAUCCGAUACUGGAUGGCUUGAAUCCGGGAGAGGGAUGCAGAAUUCCAGGUGUAGCGGUGAAAUGCGUAGAUAUCUGGAGGAAUACCAGUGGCGAAGGCGGCUCACUGGCCCGGUACUGACGCUGAGGUGCGAAAGCGUGGGGAGCAAACAGG